rfam:Rhizobiales bacterium 64-17 SCNpilot_cont_500_bf_scaffold_172, whole genome shotgun sequence.
UGGGGACAUGCAGUCUCCCCGUCAGACGGUUCCGUCCAAGCACUGC